rnacentral:rRNA from 1 species
AGAGUUUGAUCCUGGCUCAGAACGAACGUUAGCGGCGCGCCUAACACAUGCAAGUCGAGCGAGAAGGAAGCAAUUCCUGUAAAGCGGCGCACGGGUGAGUAACACGUAGGUAAUCUGCCUCGAGGUGGUGGAUAACCUUCCGAAAGGAGGGCUAAUACAGCAUGAGACCACGUCUCCGAAAGGGGAUGAGGUUAAAGCGGGCCUCUCUACAGAAGCUCGCGCCAUGAGAUGAGCCUGCGGCCCAUCAGGUAGUUGGUAGGGUAACGGCCUACCAAGCCGAAGACGGGUAGCUGGUCUGAGAGGAUGAUCAGCCACACUGGGACUGAGACACGGCCCAGACUCCUACGGGAGGCAGCAGUGGGGAAUCUUGCGCAAUGGGCGAAAGCCUGACGCAGCAACGCCGCGUGCGGGAAGAAGGCCUUCGGGUUGUAAACCGCUUUCAGAAGGAACGAAAAUGACGGUACUUUCAGAAGAAGGUGCGGCCAACUACGUGCCAGCAGCCGCGGUGACACGUAGGCACCAAGCGUUGUCCGGAUUUAUUGGGCGUAAAGAGCUCGUAGGCGGUUCGGUAAGUCGGGUGUGAAAACUUUGGGCUUAACCCAAAGCCUGCAUCCGAUACUGCUGUGACUAGAGUUCGGUAGGGGAGCGGGGAAUUCCUAGUGUAGCGGUGAAAUGCGCAGAUAUUAGGAGGAACACCGGUGGCGAAGGCGCCGCUCUGGGCCGAUACUGACGCUGAGGAGCGAAAGCGUGGGUAGCAAACAGGAUUAGAUACCCUGGUAGUCCACGCCGUAAACGUUGGGCACUAGGUGUGGGUCUCAACCAACGAGAUCCGCGCCGUCGCUAACGCAUUAAGUGCCCCGCCUGGGGAGUACGGCCGCAAGGUUAAAACUCAAAGGAAUUGACGGGGGCCCG